CCCUGUGUAGAACCUCCCUCCACCUCUCUGAAGUGGAGAAGAGAGUCCCAUGAGCCUGUAGCAGUCUAACAAGAGCUGGUGAGAAGAGUGAGGGGCUUCUACAGGAAGAAGACUUAAGUUUAGCAACUUCCUCAUCUCUUUGCUUACUUUGAGCUGGUUUCUGCUGCCAGAGGCUCAAACUCACUCAGCCGUUUUAGAGUGGAUCCUCUAUUAAGCCACGGCUGAUAUUUACACAUAUUUUCCCUUUUUAAAACAUGCAUCAGUUAUAUUUUUGGUGAGCACCCUAUGUGUGUGGGAAGGAUGCCUUCUGGAAGAAAGUUCCUCUACUUCAAGGGACCUUCAUUUUUAUCCAUGACUUUGGUAGUCCUGCAUUUUAAUGCCACCAAGAAUCUGAAUCCUCCAGCAGCUGUUUAGAAAAUGUAAGACACGAAGUCACCUAGGUGGGCCUGCUAACAAUUGCUAUUUUCAUCUAGCAAGAAUAGACUUCAGUUCUUC
rnacentral:lncRNA from 1 species